UACAGAGGGGGCGAGCGUUGUCCGGAUUUAUUGGGCGUAAAGAGCUCGUAGGCGGCUCAUUGCGUCAACCGUGAAAACCCGCGGCUCAACUGCGGGCCUGCAGCCGAUACGGGCAGGCUAGAGUUCGGUAGGGGGAGACUGGAAUUCCUGGUGUAGCGGUGAAAUGCGCAGAUAUCAGGAGGAACACCGGUGGCGAAGGCGGGUCUCUGGGCCGAUGACUGACGCUGAGGAGCGAAAGCCGUGGGGGAGCGAACAGG
rnacentral:rRNA from 1 species